rnacentral:lncRNA from 1 species
AAACAGGCAAGAAAAAAAUUGAGUUAAAUUCUGAGCACAGGUGGAUGAUGAAAGUUUAAGCUCUCCAAGUUGCCAGCAGGAAACUGUAAGAAUACUUCUAUGUGAGCACAGAGAAGGGACUCAUUACAGGUGACUUCCUGGAAUAGCUCAUAUCUCUUGCUCUGUGAUCAGGAUCCAGAACCAUGCUCAUUCUCAGCUGCAUUCUUGCUAACUGGAUGAGACACUGUAUGCAGCUGGAGGAAAAAAAUUCUGGGUUGAAGAGGCCUGAAGGAUGACAUGCGAGAAAUCUGAGGAGUGGCCAUCCAGAUUCAUGGAUACAGUGUAUGACCAAAUGUGAAAUAAUACUGCAAAUUGCCUUGUAAGAUUUAUUUUCUGAGCUAUCUAGAAUUAGUUCAAAACUAUUCUCAGAACCUCAGCACAAAGAGAGACUUGAAGUUAGACAACAAUUACAAGCAGAAAACAUUAAAAGAGAAUCUGUUAUUGCAAUGAUAGUCUGUGAUUCUACAUUACCAGUAAAGGUGGAAUUGAGCUGCUAUUGCAGAUAACUCCAGGAAUUUCCUUUUUGAUUUAAUUAAACCAGAAGUGAAAUAAUCACGUAAAGACAACAUUUUCAUGCUAGCUGUGAUGCCCAAAAAAGAUUGUUUGGGAGUUAGUUACACGAUGCUGAGCUAAAUGCAUGUCUGUGGAAUACACAUGUGAGUGUUAACAGGAAAAAUAAACAAUUUUGAAGAAAAAUAGGUGAU